rnacentral:tRNA from 1 species
GGGCCUAUAGCAUAACCCGGAUAGUGCGGUCGGCUUCGGACCGAUUGAUCAGGGUUCAAAUCCCUGUAGGCCCA